UUUUUUUUUUCCUUUUUUUUUUUGUUUGAUGGGUCAUAUCACAUUUAAAUUAAUACCAACAUUCAUUUUAUCAGCCCUAUGACUAAGUUCAACAGAACACAUAUUUUUCAUAAAACCUCAUAUUGUUGCAAUAGGUAGUGUGAUAAAGAACUAAAACUUAGAUGACAUAUAUUUAGCCUUGAUUACAUCACUUGCUUCUUCACUUGGAAGUAAAAAAAUAAAAUUAAAUAAAAAAUUUCAUCUUCCUUUUCUUCUUAGUUUAAGGAGCAAUCAAACAAAACUAAUUAUGACACAAUUUUAAGGUGUUUUUGUCACUUGAUAUAAAGUCUAUUUCAAGUCGUGAAAUGAACCCAGUAUAUCUUAUACCACACACUGAAGCAGUAUAUGCAUUACCACAAGUGGGUUGCAUCUGCAAACUUAGUGCACUCAACUCCCCAAGCGUAGAACAUAUUUAUUAAUAUCGAAGAACUAGUCUCCCUCUUUUUAACAAUAAUGUCAAAGAACUAGUCUCUCUAUUUCUAACAAUUAACAUCGAGAUUUCAGCAAAGCAUUUUCUUGAUGUUGAUGCUAGGAAUGGAAAUUUAACUCAAAAUUAGCCUUGAAUAUAAAUAACUUUGAUAAAAAAAGAAGUGAAAUUAAAAUAACAAAAAAUCAUGGAUUAAAGUUGCAUGCAUGAACAAAACCAUUGACUAAGCAGUUCAAUGAAUCAAGCAAAAAACUCAACUGUGAAGAAGUCCGAGGAAGCAAAAUUCUAAAGUCAGCAACUCUCCUAUAGAACAGAAGGAAGCUUUUUAAUUGAUAUGGGUAGAGUGAGAUUUAUGGAGGGGGAUUACCACCUAUAGUG
rnacentral:misc_RNA from 1 species